rfam:Picea glauca, whole genome shotgun sequence.
UUCCUUGUAGUAUAGUGGUGAGUAUUCCCGCCUAUCACGCGGGUGACCCAGGUUCGAUCCUCGACAAUGACA